GACGAACGCUGGCGGCGUGCUUAACACAUGCAAGUCGAACGGAAAGGCCCUGCUUUUGUGGGGUGCUCGAGUGGCGAACGGGUGAGUAACACGUGAGUAACCUGCCCUUGACUUUGGGAUAACUUCAUGAAACUGGGGCUAAUACCGGAUAGGAGCUCCUGCUGCAUGGUGGGGGUUGGAAAGUUUCGGCGGUUGGGGAUGGACUCGCGGCUUAUCAGCUUGUUGGUGGGGUAGUGGCUUACCAAGGCUUUGACGGGUAGCCGGCCUGAGAGGGUGACCGGCCACAUUAGGACGGAGAUGCGGCACAGACUCCUACGGGAGGCAGCAGUGGGGAAUAUUACACAGUGGGCGGAAGCCUAAUGCAGCAACGCCGCGUGCGGGAUGACGGCCUUCGGGUUGUAAUCCGCUGUCGCCUGUGACGAAGCGUGAGUGACGGUAAUGGGUAAAGAAGCACCGGCUAACUACGUG
rnacentral:rRNA from 1 species